CGGUCAGAGCAGUCGUUUUGCGGUUUACACUGCGAGCUGCCCUCCGAAGGGGAACGACGGCAGAAGGGCAGAUGGCCA
rnacentral:sRNA from 18 species